UACGUAGGGAGCAAGCGUUGUCCGGAAUCAUUGGGCGUAAAGCGCGCGUAGGUGGCCUCGUAAGUCCGCUGUGAAAGUCAAAGGCUCAACCUUUGAAAGCCGGUGGAUACUGUGAGGCUAGAGUACGGAAGAGGCGAGUGGAAUUCCUGGUGUAGCGGUGGAAUGCGCAGAUAUCAGGAGGAACACCAAUAGCGAAGGCAGCUCGCUGGGACGUGACUGACGCUGAGACGCGAAAGCGUGGGGAGCAAACAGG
rnacentral:rRNA from 1 species